AUAUUUAAAAAGAACUCGGCAAAAAGACUCUUGCCUGUUUAACAAAAACAUGUCUAUAUGAAGGUAUAUAUAGUUUAACCUGCUCACUGAUUAUAUUAAAGAGCCGCAGUAUUCUGACUGUGCGAAGGUAGCAUAAUAAAUUGUCUUUUAAAUGAAGGCUUGAAUGAAAGGUUGGACAAAGUGUCAUCUGUUUCUUAAAUAUUUAUUGAAUUUGACUUUCAAGUGAAAAGGCUUGAAUAAAUUAAAAAGACGAUAAGACCCUAUAAAUCUUUACAAUAAAUAAAUUUCAUAUUUUAAUUUAUAAGUAUAUAAGAUAUUAAAUUUAAUAGUUGUUUCGCUGGGGCGGCGUAGAUAUAUAAAUAAACUGUCUAUAUAUUAAAUUCAAUAAUUGUUGAUUAAUUAUAUUGAUCCUUAAAUAGAUUAAAAGAUUAAGAUACUUUAGGGAUAACAGCGUUAUUUUUUCUGAGAGUUCUUAUCGAAGAAAAAGUUUGCGACCUCGAUGUUGAAUUAAAGUAUCUUUAUUGGUGUAGCCGCUAUAAGAGAGAGUCUGUUCGACUUUUAAUACUUUACAUGAUUUGAGUUCAGAUCGGCGUGAGCAGGUUGGUUUCUAUCUUUUAUUAAAUGUAAAAUUAUUUUAGUACGAAAGGACCAAAUAAUUAAAAAAUUUUUAUAAUUUAGAAUAUUAAUAUCUUCUUAAUUAUUAGUUUAUAAACUAAAUAAUAUUAUAAAAUAAUAAAGAAGAAAGCAUUUA
rnacentral:rRNA from 1 species